rnacentral:rRNA from 1 species
UACGGAGGGUGCAAGCGUUAUCCGGAUUCACUGGGUUAAAGGGUGCGUAGGUGGGCAGGUAAGUCAGUGGUGAAAUCUCCGGGCUUAACCCGGAGCGGUCAAGUGAUACUGUCGUGCUAGAGUGCGGAAGGGGCUACUGGAAUUCUCGGUGUAGCGGUGAAAUGCGUAGAUAUCAGGAAGAACAGCCCGUGGCGAAAGCGGCUCUCUGGAACGGUACUGACGCUGAGACGCGAAAGCGUGGGGAGCGAACAGG